rnacentral:sRNA from 1 species
AACGAGGUACAGUUCUGUUUAUGCAUGGCAUCUUCAGUAAAGAAGUUUUGAGUAAAGACGUUGACGUUGAAUACCGCUUCCUUGCCGAACCUUAAAUUAGUGCCUCAUUCAGUAACGUCUCUGUUUCUCUGCAAUACUGCCUUCGGGCAAAAUAAACAUUUAAAGGAAUUUGCAAAAUGGCAAAGAUUAAAGGUCAGGUUAAGUGGUUCAACGAGUCUAAAGGUUUUGGUUUCAUUACUCCUGCUGACGGCAGCAAAGAUGUGUUCGUACACUUCUCUGCUAUCCAGGGUAACGGCUUCAAAACUCUGGCUGAAGGCCAGCAGGUAGAGUUUGAAAUUCAGGAUGGCCAGAAAGGUCCUGCAGCGGUUAACGUUACCGCUAUCUGAUUUUCCGCUCAGCCCGGGUCACUGUACCUGCUGAAACGAAUCGUAAGCCCUGCUCUCUGAGCGGGGCUUUUCU